rnacentral:snoRNA from 1 species
AGGACAUUUCAAAUAGAGUUUAUAGGGCCAGGAAAGCAAGACCUCUUAGGGCUGUCACCAGAAAAUGCAGUUCUUUACAGGAUAAUAUAGAUGUUCAAUAAUGCCAUGUUUUUCUGAGGAGACAUAAAA